rnacentral:rRNA from 1 species
UACAGAGGGGGCAAGCGUUGUUCGGAAUUACUGGGCGUAAAGCGCACGUAGGCGGCUUUGUAAGUUAGAGGUGAAAGCCCGGGGCUCAACUCCGGAACUGCCUUUAAGACUGCAUCGCUUGAAUCCGGGAGAGGUGAGUGGAAUUCCGAGUGUAGAGGUGAAAUUCGUAGAUAUUCGGAAGAACACCAGUGGCGAAGGCGGCUCACUGGCCCGGUACUGACGCUGAGGUGCGAAAGCGUGGGGAGCAAACAGG